ACAUGUGCAACAUACCUCACAUACUGUCAGGAAUGAACGCGAUGGGUCGAAUCUUGAUUGGAAGUGUGAGUGAUUACCUGGUUCACAACUCGUGCUGCUCCACUCUCAUU
rnacentral:ribozyme from 1 species